GUCCACUUGUCGAAAGGUUGUCUCCUGCUUUCACCUUGUUCUAGUUUUGCUCAUCGUCUUGAACUUCCAUUUACCGCCUUCCCCGUGUUUGAAAGUGUUGUGUGUGUGUCAAAGGGAGG
rnacentral:lncRNA from 1 species